AGAGAGAGAGGGAUGGAGAAGGGGGGGGAGUCAGAGACUGUGUUUUUAGAUGAAGGAGAACAGACUUCAAACUGCUGAACAUUACAUCUCUAAACAGUGUUGAGUUGGGUCUCCAUGGUGAUGGAUGGGUUCUUCUCAGAGACGUCAGGUUCAGGGUUAUGAUUAGAGCCUCUAGCCCAGAGGCGCUCACUUAUCAUCAGGCAGUGAGGUGACAAAGAAGGGCUGAGUAGCUCCAGGGGUCAGUAGUGAGGGUCAGGGUCGCCAGGGGUGAGGGUCAGGGUCGCCAGGGGGGAGGGUCAGGGUCUCCAGGGGUGAGGGUCAGGGUCUCCAGGGGUGAGGGUCAGGGUCUCCAGGGGUGAGGGUCAGGGUCUCCAGGGGUGAGGGUCAGGGUCUCCAGGGGUGAGGGUCAGGGUCUCCAGGGGUGAGGGUCAGGGUCUCCAGGGGUGAGGGUCAGGCGUCAGGGUCUCCAGGGGUGAGGGUCAGGGGUCAGGGUCUCCAGGGGUGAGGGUUAGCGUCGCCAGGGGUGAGGGUCAGGGGUCAGGGUCUCCAGGGGUCAGGGUCACCAGGGGUGAGGGUCAGGGGUCAGGGUCACCAGGGGUGAGGGUCAGGGUCACCAGGGGUGAGGGUCAGGGUCACCAGGGGUGAGGGUCAGGGUCACCAGGGGUGAGGGUCAGGGUCACCAGGGGUGAGGGUCAGGGUCUCCAGGGGUGAGGGUCAGGGUCUCCAGGGGUGAGGUCAGGGUCAGGGUCUCCAGGGGUGAGGGUCAGGGGUCAGGGUCUCCAGGGGUGAGGGUCAGGGGUCAGGGUCUCCAGGAGUGAGGGUCAUGGUCUCCAGGGGUCAGGGUCUCCAGGGGUCAGGGUCUCCAGGGGUGAGGGUCAGCGUUGCCAGGGGUGAGGGUCAGGGUCUCCAGGGGUGAGGGUCAGGCGUCAGGGUCACCAGGGGUGAGGGUCAGGGUCUCCAGGGGUGAGGUUCAGGGGUCAGGGUCUCUAGGGGUCAGGGGUUACUUACUUGUCGUCAGGCAGGGCUGUAACAUAAAAAGGCUGGGUAGCUCCAGGGGUCAGGGUCAGGGAGUUGGUUUUCUUCUUAGCCAAGAGGGCAGCGCGGUGAGACUCAUACACAUCCAGGGUCAGAGUAGUGGACAGACGGUGGGACACCACAAACGGAAGGUCCUUCAGACGCUCCAGCUCACUGGCCUGCUCAUGACGCACCUGCAGACGCAGCGUGUAGUCACCUUUCUCUAGUUUCAGAGAGUAC
ensembl:lncRNA